rnacentral:piRNA from 1 species
GCCUGAGGAAAAUACCUUAGAGGAAAAGA